GCCAGAAUUCUAUGAUCAAAAAGCUUGAUAAUAAAGAUGAGUUAUGGGUCCACAUGGAAAGAAAGGGUCGCGACUCCUGACGACUCGGAUGCGGUUCUUACUUAUCCAGCUUGUUUAACCCUUUGCAUAGAAUGUCACAGGCAUGAAAAAUACCCUACACAAUACCGAAUACAUUGUCAACUGCAAGAUCUAGAUUAAUCAAGUUCCGACCAAACUGUCAAAAACCAAAGACCAGCAAUAGACCUUGAUGAGAUAGUGGUGGAAUUGAUGAAGUGGGUGCCUCAACUAAGGAAACAUUUCAACCUGUGUGUUGCAUAGUAUUGCAACAUGAGGCGAAUGUAUGAGGAAGCAGGUUGAAAUGUUUCCUUAGAACUUGGAAGGAAUGAGCACUCAACUGCUUCACCGAGUGUGGAAGUAGAAAGGGAAAACGAAGAAGAAGAAGAAAUGGCAUCUCCAACUGCUUCACAGAAGGCAGGCAUGAAAUUUGAGGGGAUGAAAUUUGCAACUGCAAGAUCAAGAUUAAUCAAAUUCUGCGGCCAAGUUAUUAAGAACCAAAAACCAGUAAUAAAGGUGGAAAAGCUAGUGGUGGAUAACACCUAUAUCUCUAGCUUGGUUCUUCGCUCGUUCAAUCCCUGAAUGCUCCACCAUUUGAAGUCGGCUCCAGCCAAGAUCUUACAGAAGAAGCGAAAAGACCAUGCACCCGCUCCUUUCCUAGCAAAGAGACCCAACUUGCAUCUGUUUAUUCAGGUAUCAUUUGUUCUUCAGCUUCAUUGAUGAAGUGGAUGCCUCAACACGGAAAUAUUUAAGCUUGUGUUUUGCAUAGUUUGUUCAACUGAAGUUAAUGUCAUCGAAGAUGAUGAGGUUUAUCGUUUCUUCAAUAUUCUUCAUAGUGAGUCCUAAUCUUUCUUGAAAAUUUACAUUUCAUAGAAAUUUUACUUGUUUACAUGCUCAAUCUCAGUAGCUAGUUGUAGUACACAUGAAAAAUGAAGAAACAGAAACCGGAUACCCAUAAAUUCAUUUUUCUUAGUCCCGUUUCUUGUUUCCAUUGUUCAUCGUAUGAUCUUGGGUUCUAUAUCAAAAUA